UUUCUUUGUUAGGGAUGGCAGGGAGGUUACAAAUAUAUGCCUGUAUCACGAGGAAUUGAGUCAAAUUCAAGAUCUUUUUGUCUCAUUUUAGUGGAAAGAUAUGUUUUAAGAUUAUGAAUUAGUUUGUAGGCGUUGAAAUUUUUGUUUCUAUUGCUUUAUGUGAAGGUGCAGGUGAUGUGGGCAAGUGAUCCAGUGCCGCAAUGGCGAGAAGGAGUGGAGCGGAAGGAAGGAUUGUCA
rnacentral:lncRNA from 1 species